rnacentral:rRNA from 1 species
GCAUAUUAGUAAGCGGAGGAAAAGAAACUAACCAGGAUUUCCUUAGUAGCGGCGAGCGAACAGGAAAUAGCCCAGCACUGAAUCCCGCGGUUGUAACGAUCGCGGGAGAUGUGGUGUUCGGGAGGUAUCGCUUUCUCGUCGUCGCCACUCCUGUCCAAGUUCGUCUUGAACGGGGCCGUUUUCCCGUAGAGGGUGCCAGGCCCGUAGCGACGGAGCGAGACGGCGAGAGGUACGCUCCUCAGAGUCGGGUUGCUUGAGAGUGCAGCCCUAAGUGGGUGGUAAACUCCAUCUAAGGCUAAAUAUACC